GGAUGCGAUCAUACCAGCACUAAAGCAUCGGAUCCCAUCAGAACUCCGAAGUUAAGCGUGCUUGGGCGACAGUAGUACUAGUAUGGGUGACCUCCUGGGAAGUCCUCGUGUUGCAUUCC
rnacentral:rRNA from 1 species